rnacentral:rRNA from 1 species
UACGUAGGGACCGAGCGUUGUCCGGAAUCAUUGGGCGUAAAGGGCGUGUAGGCGGCCAGGUAGGUCUGCUGUGAAAACUCGAGGCUUAACCUCGAGCUGUCGGCGGAAACCAUCUGGCUAGAGUCCGGAAGAGGAGAAUGGAAUUCUCGGUGUAGCGGUGAAAUGACGUAGAUAUCGAGAGGAACACCUGCGGCGAAGGCGGGUAGCUGGGCCGACACUGACGCUGAUGCGCGAAAGCCAGGGGAGGCAAACGGG